UAGGGAAUCUUCCGCAAUGGACGAAAGUCUGACGGAGCAACGCCGCGUGAGUGAAGAAGGAUUUCGGUUCGUAAAACUCUGUUGUUAGGGAAGAAAAAAUGUAUAGUAACUAUAUACAAAAGAGACGGUACCUAACCAGAAAGCCACGGCUAACUACGUGCCAGCAGCCGCGGUAAUACGUAGGUGGCAAGCGUUGUCCGGAAUUAUUGGGCGUAAAGCGCGCGCAGGUGGUUUAGAAAGUUUGAUGUGAAAGCCCACGGCUCAACCGUGGAGGGUCAUUGGAAACUAAUAAACUUGAGUGCAGGAGAGAAAAGUGGAAUUCCUAGUGUAGCGGUGAAAUGCGUAGAGAAUAGGAGGAACACCGGUGGCGAAAGCGGCUUUUUGUCCUGCAACUGACACUGAGGCGCGAAAGCGUGGGGAGCAAACAGG
rnacentral:rRNA from 1 species